GUUGCUUAUUAUGGUUUUGCAAUUGGCCAAGGUUUAAAAGAACGAACCGGCCACUUAAAAAAUUGUGUCGGAUUGCUGGAUCAGCGAUCUGGAUUGGAUAAUCAACUGGAUCAAUGGAUAGAAUUGGCGAUCCAUAGUGUACAUAUUCGGCGAUGUAUAGGUCACCGGAUCCCGAUAUGUUAUGGGAUUCGGCUUUCUGCCAACAAUUCCCGAUUAUGAUUGAAUCAUUCUGAUUCGAAUCAAAAUCUUGCAACAUGCCAUUCGUGAGUAAGAGUAUUUUGUACAUGCGUAUCGUUGUUCAUUGAUCCUGAAGAAUAUUUGGGUGAUUAAAUAUCUU
rnacentral:lncRNA from 1 species